rnacentral:lncRNA from 1 species
ACCAUUUUAUUAAUCAUUUUUUUUGUUGAUUAAUUACCCUCCACUCUGGAAACCCUAUGUACCCACCUCUUCUCCUCUCCUUUCCACCUUCUUUCCAUCUUAAUAUCUCCUUCUCCCUUCACCAUAGUCCCCAAUGAAUGGUGCCCCCCUCCUCCCUUGUAUCUCUCUCACUUUUCGUCAAUCUUUUAUUUCUUCAUAAACAAGGAUGGGCAAAGUUUGAUAGUAAUGAGAAAGGAUGGACGAUGGAUUGGAGUAAAAAAAUAAUACUAUUGGUUCUUUCAAGAUUUUUAUUUAUGUCCUUAUUUUUUUAUUUUUUAAAAUUGUAUGCUUCAAUGUUCUUCUCCUAAACCCUAAAGUUCCUAUGAUUGUGAGGCAAAUACAUGCCCUUCCCGGUUUUUAUACUUUCAUUUUUUUUGUUUUUUGAAUUUCAAAUUUUUUUUGUUCUCUAAUUUUGUCUUCUCAAUCAUUAUUUGCAAAAAUCAAAAUAUAGAAUUAUUGAUUUCUCAUCCCUACACAGACGAAGGUUCUCUAUUCAUUGUUUCAAAUCCUCGUCCUCUGAAUUCAUUUUUUUCAAUUUGGGAGAGAUGUUUUUUUUGUACAAUUUUGAAUUAGAGGCACCAGUCACCUUAAAGGUUAGUUUAUUGUAUAAAAACAUUAAACUUUUUAUCCAUUCUCUACACAAAGAAUAGAAGAAUCUCUUGAUUGUCUAUAGAUGUCAAUCACAUUGAUUGAAGCAGAUCAGAGCUCUAAGUAUGAUUCCAUAAUUGCUCGCGAUGUCUUGUAUAAAUUUGAUAUUUAAGAAAAUCAAUGGAUUGAAUGAUUUCACUCUAUAGAAAUUGAAGAUGAGAGCUGUUCUAAUUCAUCAAGGAUAUGCAACAAUGUUAGACAGAGAAAAUAAACCGACUGUGAGUAUGAGGUGGGGGGGGACAUGAGAUUAUAGAGAAGGUGCAAAAUUUAAUUUUAUUGAGCUUGAUUGAUGAGGUAUUGUGAGAGGUUGUUGAUGAAAUGAGUGUUGUGGGAUUAUAGGAGAAAUGGGAAAGCAAGUUUCAAAAGAAAUCCCGAGUCAUAUUGUUUUUUUUUUUUUUGUAUUGUUGAUGAAAUGUUAGACUAUUGUUUUCUUUUUUUUGUAUUGAAUUUAAGUGGAUGGGUUUUAUCUGUAAUAUUUUAAAAGUAUAAAUUUUAUUAAUGCUCCCAUUAAUUAGUUUGACGUUGGAUAAAUAUUGUACAGUUUUUCAAACAUGUUCA